rnacentral:rRNA from 1 species
CAGUAGCCGCGGUAAAACGGAGGGUGCAAGCGUUAAUCGGAAUUACUGGGCGUAAAGCGCACGCAGGCGGUCUGACAAGUCAGAUGUGAAAUCCCCGGGCUUAACCUGGGAACUGCAUUUGAAACUGUCAGGCUGGAGUCUUGUAGAGGGGGGUGGAAUUCCAGGUGUAGCGGUGAAAUGCGUAGAGAUCUGGAGGAAUACCGGUGGCGAAGGCGGCCCCCUGGACAAAGACUGACGCUCAGGUGCGAAAGCGUGGGGAGCAAACAGGAUUAGAGACCCCAGUAGUCCCUGUCUCUUAUAC